UGGCUAAAAGCUGGGCAAACGGCAAACCAAAGGGCACUUUAAUGUACUACGUCAAUCAGAGAACUCGGCUUGACCUCCAUUUAAAUCAUUGACGAAGCCGCCGACAAGUGACAACGCUUGGCAACAGAACGGAAGAGCCGACCAGCACACGGACAAGAUGGAGGCUCCGAGGCUGCAGAGGAAACGCAUUGCAAACGUAAUCAAGUAAUCAAAAGUCCAAAUCAUGCCACUGACAGACCCAAACUUAGGCUGUGGAAGCAGCGGGCUGUGGCAAGAGUGGUGCAUUGCGUGCUCCGCCCGAUUGACAGCUCGACACGACAGACCGGCCGAGGGGGGUUGACAGACGCAACAUGCAAAGAUGGCACUUAACGAAAGCAGUCGACCGACAACUGAUUGAAGUGAAACAAACCAAUGAACAGACACUCAGGUCAUCUCUUGGUGUUUGGAUCAAAGAGGGUGGAGAGUGGAUCCCCAACUUCACAGCAAGUGCAACAGCAAGAAGAAGAACAAUGCUCGACCAAAUAGACAUCCAGGCAAUACACUUGGACACGUAGUCUUAAUACAAGCCAUGACAUUAGCAGAAAUCAAAAAACAAAUUACGAACUUUGACUUUUGCCAUUUGGCUUCAAAAGAAAAAAAAAACGAAGCAAAUACAAAAAUCAUUGCUCAAUCGACUACAGCAUUUGGCAUUAAAGUUGGCAUUGCAAACGAAUUCGCAAAUCCUUUCAACUGUUGUAUCUAUCACAUGUGGCAGAGGAAAUGCCUAACGAUUGGCAUUUAAAGAUUUGUUCGUAUUGGGAAACGGAGACAAACGAAAACAUGCAGCAAAUGUAUUGGAAGCCGGAGAAAUGUUAGACAAGAUAUAUUUCAGAGAUUGUUUGAAAGUUUGAGAAAAACAUUUGACUCGUGUAAAGCCGGGUAAUACCAGUAACUGUAUUUCAGGCACAUGUGAAAUGCAAACAAGCUGCUAUUGAUGCCGGGCCGGGCAAUUGGCCAUCCAUCCAUCCGUCCGACAACCCGCACAAUCUGACCCCCAUGACCUUGCCCACCCAUCGAUUGCUUUGAACUUGUAACUAAAGCUGGCACGUAGUUGAACCUUAGCUCACAACACAGACGCAGCACAUACCGGCUGGCGUCUAAGAGAAAGACAGUCACACACUGAAUAAGAGGGUAAGGAGAAAGCUACUGCAGCAACUAGAGAUGAGUCUGUUUCUCCAUAGGAAACCUGUUUAAAGCGAUUAGCAAAUCUUUUAUGUCCAGGCUACAAUAAAAACCGUUUUGCCAAAUAUAA